GGUUGACCUCGGAUCGGGCAGGGAUACCCGCUGAACUUAAGCAUAUCAAUAAGCGGAGGACAAGAAACCAACCGGGAUUGCCUCAGUAACGGCGAGUGAAGCGGCAGCAGCUCAGAUUUGAAAUCCGACCCCCCCGGGGCCCGAGUUGUAAUUUGGAGAGGGCGCUUCGGGGCGCGCCGCCGGUCCGAGUGCCUUGGAACAGGCCGCCGUGGAGGGUGAGAGCCCCGUACGCGGCCGGCGGACGACCCCGCCCGAAGCCCCUUCGACGAGUCGAGUUGUUUGGGAAUGCAGCUCCAAGCGGGUGGUAAAUUCCAUCUAAAGCUAAAUACCGGCCGGAGACCGAUAGCGCACAAGUAGAGUGAUCGAAAGAUGAAAAGCACUUUGGAAAGAGAGUCAAACAGCACGUGAAAUUGUUGAAAGGGAAGCGCUGGCCCCCAGACCUGCCCGCGGGCGAUCCCCCUCGGCGUCCGCCGGGGGGCACUCGCCCGCGCACAGGCCAGCACGGGUCCGGGCGGCGGGACAAAGCGCCCGGGAAUGUAGCUCCCUUCGGGGAGCCUUAUAGCCCGGGCGGACAUGCCGCCCGCCCGGACCGAGGACCGCGCUUCGGCGAGGGUGCUUGGCGUAAUGGGGGUCAGCGACCCGUCUUGAAACACGGACCAAGGAGUCUAACGUCCCCGCGAGUGUUCGGGCGUCAAACCCCCGGCGCGGAAUGAAAGUGAACGGAGGUGGGAGCCCCGCGAGGGGCGCACCAUCGACCGAUCCAGAUGUCUUCGGAUGGAUUUGAGUACGAGCGCGGCCGUUGGGACCCGAAAGAUGGUGAACUAUGCCUGGGUAGGGUGAAGCCAGAGGAAACUCUGGUGGAGGCUCGCAGCGGUUCUGACGUGCAAAUCGAUCGUCAAACCUGGGCAUAGGGGCGAAAGACUAAUCGAACCAUCUAGUAGCUGGUUCCUGUC
rnacentral:rRNA from 1 species